CAAAUAAGCCUAGGCCUACAAGAUCCAAUACUGGUGAAUAAGGAACAGACCAAGCACAAGUGAUGAACCUCCCUGGCUGGCAUUUCUUAGGCUGCUUAUGUUGAGUAUCAUUCUGAUACCAUUAAGUUGGGGUUAGGCUACUUGAAUUUUUGCUGACCAAUUAGUGUUUGGAUUGCUCAAAUCCAGAUUUAUUGGUACUCAGCUGCCACUGGAGAGAGGGCAAAGACUGUUUUGACAUAGAUCAUGGAUGGUCAGUAUUGGGAGGAAGUCUGUAGGUCAUAGAGGUCAGCCACCUUAUCAUACAGGAGAAAGCCAGCUCCAGGUGGCAGGUGUCUCUUGCAAAUACCAUUUGGAUAUUUGUAGAGUUUUACUCACUGAAUUCUUCUUGCUCCUAGAGAGAAUAAGUGAUGACAAAUGAAAGGACACCUUACAAAGGAAUAUUAGUCAAAAGAGAAGGAUGUUUUCCUUCUUACGAGGUUUCUCGUGUGUAUCUGCAAAAAAGAAAAAAGUACAAAAGGAAAAGCCAGUUUUAUCAGAUGCUGAGAGGAAGAGGUGUGAAUCAAGAAAUUAUAUUGCUGUAGACAAAGCAUCCACAAAUUGUUCUAUUUUAUCAUGUUUUACUACAAGAAAAUGGAGGAAAACAAAGAAAUAAAAUGAAAAUAAAUUUUUGUCAUUGACUAUUACUAAGACUUGC
rnacentral:lncRNA from 1 species